ACUCCUACGGGAGGCAGCAGUGGGGAAUUUUGCGCAAUGGGGGAAACCCUGACGCAGCAACGCCGCGUGAGUGAUGAAGGCCUUCGGGUCGUAAAGCUCUGUCAGAGGGAAAGAAAUGUAAUUGUGCUAAUAUCAUGAUUACUUGACGGUACCCUCAAAGGAAGCACCGGCUAACUCCGUGCCAGCAGCCGCGGUAAUACGGAGGGUGCGAGCGUUGUUCGGAAUUAUUGGGCGUAAAGCGCGUGUAGGCGGUUUGUUAAGUCUGAUGUGAAAGCCCCGGGCUCAACCUGGGAAGUGCAUUGGAAACUGGCAGACUUGAAUACGGGAGAGGGUAGUGGAAUUCCUAGUGUAGGAGUGAAAUCCGUAGAUAUUAGGAGGAACACCGGUGGCGAAGGCGGCUACCUGGACCGAUAUUGACGCUGAGACGCGAAAGCGUGGGGAGCAAACAGGAUUAGAUACCCUGGUAGUCCACGCCGUAAACGAUGAGAACUAGGUGUUGCGGGUA
rnacentral:rRNA from 1 species